UACCAUGCGGGGAGCACAAAGCGAACAAUUCUUUAGCCUUUUACUAAAGAAUACCGUGUACUCGCCGCUACAAGUGGCAUACGCCUUUUAUUGAAAAUAUCUUACCAAACCUU